rnacentral:rRNA from 1 species
UACGGAGGGUGCAAGCGUUAAUCGGAAUUACUGGGCGUAAAGCGCACGCAGGUGGCUGAGUCAGUCGAUUGUGAAAGCCCUGGGCUUAACCUGGGAAUUGCAGUCGAUACUACUCAGCUAGAGUAUGGGAGAGGCAAGCGGAAUUCCUGGUGUAGCGGUGAAAUGCGUAGAUAUCAGGAGGAACACCCGUGGUGUAGACGGCUUGCUGGACAGUCACUGACGCUGAGGCACGAAAGCGUGGGGAGCAAACAGG